rnacentral:rRNA from 1 species
UAGCAUAUCAAUAAGCGGAGGAAAAGAAACCAACAGGGAUUGCCCCAGUAACGGCGAGUGAAGCGGCAACAGCUCAAAUUUGAAAUCUGGCCCCAGGCCCGAGUUGUAAUUUGCAGAGGAUGCUUUUGGCGCGGUGCCUUCCGAGUUCCCUGGAACGGGACGCCAUAGAGGGUGAGAGCCCCGUACGGUUGGACACCAAGCCUUUGUAAAGCUCCUUCGACGAGUCGAGUAGUUUGGGAAUGCUGCUCAAAAUGGGAGGUAUAUUUCUUCUAAAGCUAAAUAUUGGCCAGAGACCGAUAGCGCACAAGUAGAGUGAUCGAAAGAUGAAAAGCACUUUGAAAAGAGGGUUAAACAGCACGUGAAAUUGUUGAAAGGGAAGCGCUUGUGACCAGACUUGCGCCCGGUGAAUCACCCAGCUCUCGCGGCUGGGGCACUUUGCCGGCACAGGCCAGCAUCAGCUUGCCGUCGGGGACAAAAGCUUCGGGAACGUAGCUCUCUUCGGGGAGUGUUAUAGCCCGUUGCAUAAUACCCUUCGGCGGGCUGAGGUACGCGCUCCGCAAGGAUGCUGGCGUAAUGGUCAUCAGCGACCCGUCUUGAAACACGGACCAAGGAGUCAACCUUAUGUGCGAGUGUUUGGGUGUUAAACCCCUACGCGUAAUGAAAGUGAACGCAGGUGAGAGCUUCGGCGCAUCAUCGACCGAUCCUGAUGUUCUCGGAUGGAUUUGAGUAAGAGCAUAUAGGGUUGGACCCGAAAGAAGGUGAACUAUGCGUGUAUAGGGUGAAGCCAGAGGAAACUCUGGUGGAGGCUCGCAGCGGUUCUGACGUGCAAAUCGAUCGUCAAAUAUGCGCAUGGGGGGCGAAAGACUAAUCGAACCUUCUAGUAGCUGGUUUCCGC